CUCCCUUGAGACCCUGAACUACAGAUGCUCGGAGCAGGAGCAGAUCUUUAGGCAACAUGGCCCAGCCUCACACUCCUGGCCUGACCCCAGUGCUCAAUGGCCUCAGAUCUAUGGUCAUGGCCUCUGAGUAAACCGGACAGGUUCCUUCUGACAACAGCUGCCAGCUGGUCCCAGGUCACAAGCAUCCACCUAACAGGGUCACGUGAGAUUCUGCACAUGUGAGACCAAGGGAGAGCCAUUACCACACUCAGAAACAUACACGAGGGCAGGCGUGCAGCCCUAACUAGCAACUCAAAUUAAUUCCACCAAUAACUAAACACCUACUGUGUGCCUCUUGGUAUUCUUGGCAGCCCCAGGGCUAAGACAGCUUGCCUGAGCUGGUCUUCUCUCACAUUAACUGAAACGGAAGCUUCUCUGUCCCACUUUCUACAUCCAAAACACACUGCGGGGAUUUGGGGAUGAUGUGGCUAAAUUUAAAAGCAAGUAUCAGCCUUUUAAAAAAAUGUGCAAGAAGCAUUUGGAGCUCGUCGGUUUGCCCUCUCCCCCUGGAAACCAUCCUCACCACCUCCUCUGGCUCCCAACGUUGAGGCCAUGAAAAACAAAUCGGCCUCCAGCCCUCAUUUCAGACUCAGACCUCUCCGGUCCCUGCGCUGGGACGCUUGCGGGAGUGACUAAUUCCCGUCUGAGUCCUGGAGAAGCCUCAGUUCCUCCGAUGUUAGUAGUACCUACUGCUUCAGACAUCAGAUCAUCCAGAUAAAGCGCCCAGCACAGGGCUGACACAGAGUAGGCCCUCAACAAAUGGCAGCUAUUACGACCAUGGCCCUGAUGGAGGGAGCAGAAGGAGGACUCGGGUGCCCAGAGUCCCCUGUCUGUGUCCCCUCUGCUCCUUCCCUCACCAGCCACAGGAGAGGGUCAUAAUUAACCCGGAGCUAGAGGCCACCAGGUUCCCAUGCUCUGUGCUGAAGCAAAGCCACCCUUGUUUCUAGACUCUACCAUCCUAAAGAGGGACCACAGAGACAGGAUAUGUCAACGGACCGUCCUGGGUAGGAGGCCUCGAAACGGGUCCUGAGUGAUUUCAUCAGGCUGCAAAGGCUGCUGGUGUGCACGGUAUGUGCUCUUGGUUCAGUAAAGCACAGCAGAAAAUUACUUUGUCAAUCACCUCUGAGGGAAGGGGGUCUGGCAGAAGCUUAGGAUUUCAUUGGUGCUGCCUUUGGAGCCUCAUCUUUCGUACAGACUAUUUUUAGCAUAAAUAAUGUACACUCUGUUAUAUUGUCACAACUGACAGAUGAGCAUUCUCGUGGCACCCACAGACCGCUCGUUCACUUGGGAAAAUGUUAGAAAAUGUUAAAUGAGUUUCUCCCGACCACAGCACAGAGAGCUGCCACGUACCACGUACCGUGACCUGCACGACAGAUGCCUCUCUGCCCUCUGACUCGUGUCAUAGUUGUUCCGGCCUCUGAACUCUGCAGCCGGGAUUCAGACUCAACUCAGGGCAGUGCCAUCUUAAUCAAAAGCUCCACCGGGGGGUAGCUGAGCCCAGGGAGUGCAGUUUGACAAAGCAUUUUCAAAAAUGUAUAUUGUAGGAUAAGAGGUGAUGGGAUGAGAAGCCCAUGAUUACUGGGGCCUGGAAAACCACCUGUGAUUUUCCAUCAUCCUGUCUCACAGCCCCGGUGCCCUCCGUGGUGUCACCCCAGGGGAGCCACAGCUUGGGUCCAGCUAGAGGGCAAGAAACUCAGUGUGCCUAUCACACAGGAAGACCUACAUCACCCACUUCUCAGGUCCUCCUCAGAUUAAGGAACUCUUUGUUUUCUGAGCUGGUUUGACGUUUUGUCUGUGCUUCGUCUCGUCCUGCACUCGCUGUGCUCCUCUGACUGUGUCCCUGCACUGUCGCACCCAGCCCACUAUAUUCUGCCCAUCACCCCUCUCCCUCUCCUCACCCAGCUAGUCCCGCUCACUCUUUAGGGUUCUGCGGGAAUGUCACUUCCAUAGCCAGGCCAUCUCUGGCCACCCAACUUCAGACAGGUCUCAUUUAUUUGCUUUCAGAGCACCCUGCGUUUCUCCUGCACAGCAUGAUAACAGUUUGCAUUUAUUGCUGGUUUGUCUCCCUUGUUUGCGUGCAAGUUCCCCAAGAAUUUUGUUUGCCACUAUCUGCCCGCAUCCAGCACAAGGCCUGGCCCAGAGUCCAGUGCAGAGUAGAGACACAUUAAGUAACACUCACUGAGUCGAAUGAAUGAAUGAAUGAAUGAAUGAAUGAAUACCAAGAGGGACCCUAAGAAUAGUCUAGAUUGAAAGCCUCCAGAAUUCUUCACAUUCUUUAAUCCAUACAUUCCAUUCAUCCAUUAAACAGGGAGAAUCUUUUCUCACCUAAAACAAGUGACAUGCACUGCUUUUUGUGGAAAAAGGGGAAAAAAAAAAACAAAACUGAGCAACUGCAACUGUCUGUCCUUUGGGAUGACUGAGGAAGGGCCCAGGGGAGGGAAAGACCCAAAAGUAUCUUCCUAGACACUGAGAAAAGUGCAAGCAGAUCUACGCAAAACCACUUUAAGUUUUGCCUCCCUCAAGAAGUAACUACUGUACCAAAUUUGGGGACUUCCAGUCUGCUAUAGACAAAUGCUGAGGGGUCCCUUCUCCUGGGAAGCCUCUCCUGACCUCCCCAGCCUGCUGACCUCUCUGCUGCACUCCCUUGCACCUUGAUGAGUCACCACAUCUGGCUCCUGGCACUCCCCACCCCCCCCCCCCCCCCGCCCCGUGCUCCCUGCAGAGGUGGGCUCACAGCUCUACGCAGCAUCGCCACGACUGGACCCAUGGCUGGGCAUGCUCAACAAGGCUCCUUGGUCCAUUGCUUCAUCGCGAUUCUAGGAGUAGUAUUUUUCAACAGGAAGAGCAGAUUAAGAAAGGUACUACAGCAUAACAUAGUUUCUAGAAUAACGAUGAUGUAGGUACAGAUAGAGAAGAAAUAGUGAGAGACAGUGCCAGCUGCCUAUUCCAGAACAGCUUUGAAUCUAUCCAGCUGAGCCACCGUGUGUCCCCGUUGAGUGCUAGACACAGUGGUGGGUACCGGGUGGUGGAGGGGGCGUGCACAGAACAAGCAGGCCCAGGCCCUGCCUGCCAGAGGCAGCCAGUGGUUGACACGAAAGACAGGCGCUUACAUUCCUGCAACCUGAGGCGAGCUGUGAAGAGACCAGGCAGGACAGUGGACAUGCCUAGCACAAGUUUCUCCAGCAAGUCUGCCCUCAGCACCGACAUCUCUAGAACAUUCUUCACUCCCUGAGGGUGGAAAAACUACCAAAACAAAAAUUACCAAAGAACAGGGUUGCCAGGCAUGUGAGCAAGUGGACCUUGGAGGACAGGAUUAAGAGAAGAGGCCCCAGGCCACGCCUGUGGGAGACAGGGGACGGCAGCAGAGUGGGAGGGGAAGAGUGGUCCAGAAGCCUUGAGGCAAACCGUUCCUUGUAGAGUCAAGGACGUCAGAGCUUGGUGGGGCCCAGAGAUCCACCUCCAGGAGAGAGGGAAAGAUAAAACCCCCAGCUAUCUCACAAGGCACAGAGAUGCAAAAAAUACUAAUGGGGGAGGUUCGGGGGAGGCCAGGAGAGAGAGAAAGAAAGAGAGAGAGAGAGGGGGAGAGAGCUGUCUGGGAAAGUUACUGCCCAGAUUGUUACUGGCCUCCUAUGAGUGGACGCACCCUUGCCCCACAGCCCUGCACAAGUCACUAGUCUCUUGUGACAAAUCACUAGCAAGAGCUGUGGACGGUCCCUGGUCUUAUCCUACUUGCUUGCUACCAAGUUAGCCUGCCACAGUGUUCUGGAUGUGGGCAGAAGACAUGAGACUCCCGGCCAGAAACACAGCCCUGCACUCCACAGGGUCCAGCAAGCAGCACGAGCUUCGCAUUUGCCUGCCCAGGUCCCGGGAGGGGGGAGCAUGGAGGGGCCCAGGCAGAUGCUGCAGGCACAGUGGGUUUGCUUCAUAGCUAAGGGGAUCCAAGCUUAGGAAACCUGAACUUUUUAAAAUGGGCAACAGCCUGUCUGACUUUGGUCCUAGAGGGAGACAUUAUCUUCAUUGUGUUGGACAGUAAAAAUACUUGCUACUGCCCAUCACCCCAGAGGGAGACACAAUCUGUAUCUUCUAAGGCUGUUUGCUACACAAAUAUCCCAGAAGACAGAAUCAAGAACAAAGGCCAAGAUGGGCAAAAAUGCAAGGAACAGAGGAAGAAUUGUCUCGCAUCACUCUCAAACUACAGAGAGAGAGAGUCCUAGCCCCCCGCAACAGCUCUGGCCUCAUCCCUGGGAGAAGCACAGGACAGUGCAGGUGAGCGAUGCUUUGUCAAAGGAAAGUCCUUGAACCUGAUCUGGAAGCAUGGCAGAGACAAUCUCACAUGGCAGACUGGCUCUUUGUGCAGAAUGCCUCCUCCAAAUUCCAUUCUAAAACAUGGAUCAACGAGGGUACAGAGAAGCAAGGAACCAUAUGUGAGCAAACAGAAUUCCCUCUGACCUUCCCCAGGGGAAAAAGACGGUGUAGGGUUUUUUCAGGAUUGCCUAGAAUCUGAGUCACAUUGGACGCCAUUCUCUGGCCACGGAAUGAGCAUUCCUUAUUGACCCCAAUCUCUUUUGACUUUGUCUGUGGCACACCUCCCUCCCUGCCCCCAGUAAUGGCAUUUCCUAAAGUUAUCCAAUUAAAGCCUCAAGGAUGCUGCCCCCUCCCAGGUUCACGCUUGAAAGCCAGAGGGGAAGGGUGCCUGCAAACAUGCCUCCCUCCUCACAGCAGACAAGUGGUGAGAAAUUUCAAUUGAAUCAUAUCUGGCUUAUCUUCUGCAUUCACUGAGGAGAUAACUCAUUCACAAAUCUUGCACUUAGAAGACAAGUCAGGGACACCUGGGUGGCUCAGUCUGUUGGGCAUCUGACUUCAGUUCAGGUCAUGAUCUCACGGUUCAUGAGUUCAAGCCCCACAUUGGGCUCUGUGCUGACAGCUCAGAGCCUGGGGCCCGCUUUGAAUUCUGUGUCUCCCACUCUCUCUCUCUGCCCCUCCUCCAUUCAUGCUCUUUCUCUGUCUCUCUCUCAAAAAUAAAUAUUUUUUUAAAUUAAAAAAAAAAAAAGAAGACAGGUCAGAUGGCCAUUUCUCUGACUCCUCUGAUCAUUUUGCCUUUUCCUACAGGGGCAGGAAGGACCACUCAGGUCACUUUUGGACCUAGAAACUCCCAAUCGUAAGUCGCAGUCCUGAACCCCACCGUGUCCUUUCUCACAGAAUUUAUGGCAGUGAGUGCCCAUGCCGUGUCACAGGAAACCCAUCUGAGCAGACUUCUCCUAGGGUCUCUCUAGAGGUUUCCACGAGCCCCUAAUCUUCUCCCCCUCUCCCAGGAUCUCUUAAAUAAAUGUUACAUGAUCAAUUACUGCAUUGCCCUAUUUAAUUGAUUUAUAUGCACUUUAUAAAGCUUUACACUGAACAGGAAAUACAUCUAUCAUAAUACUUGAUUGAAUUGGAGACAGGAGAAGGGAGAAGGGGAAUUAAAAUUUAUUGAGCACUUAUUAUGUGCCAGGUAGAGCACAAGGUACUUUACAUACAUUACUGACUUUAACCCCCGCAGCUGCUGUGAGGGAGGUAUUCUUCCCUAUUUAGUCAAGGAGGAAACUGACAUCCACAGAGGCUAGGGGACUUGCCCAAGGUUACAAAGCUUCUAGAAGAAGCAGAAUUCAAUUGUAGCUCUGGUUCCAAGCUAACAUAUACUUCAGGAUUUAACUCUCAAGUGUUUCUGGGGCACCUGGGUAGCUCAGUCAGUUGAGUAUCUGACUUCAGCUCAGGUCAUGAUCUCACGGUUUGUGAGUUCGAGCCCCGCACUGGGCUCUGUGCUGACAGCUCAGAACCUGGAGCCUGCUUCCUAUUCUGUGUCUCCCUCUCUCUCGGUCCCUCUCCCCCUCAUGCUCUGUCUCUUUCUCUCAAAACUAAAUAAACGUUAAAAAUUUUUUUUUUAAAAACUAUCAAGCGUUUCUAUAAAAAAUAUGAAUAAGGGAUAUAACCCUUAUUAUAGUAUUGUUUCAUUGAGAAAAUAAGAUUCAAUUUACAUUCUUUCUUCGUACCACAUCUUUUGCUAUAACCGAAUGUGCCGUGUGCACCAUUUCACACUGAAGGGUAAUAAGUGGUGUUGGGAGAGGUGAAGAAGGGUGCUGGGGGAUAAGGUAGGCAUGUUUACAAAGCUUGAGAGUUUUCUCUCUAAGCACUGACACUUUUCAAAAAUUUUUUUAGCUAUGAAAAAACUCUUAAGCUAUUUCUAUUCAGUACCAUUGUGGAAGGGAGUAGAGAACAUUCAUUUAUUCCACAGUGUUUGUGGGAGACAACUCACUGCGUGUGGGCCAGGAAGGAAGCAAAAAAACAAGCUGCUCAGAGUCCCUUAGAGCUUGUAUUCUGGAAGGUGGAGUGAUACUCAAAUCUGAUACUCAAAUCUGCAACCAUUAGGUACGACCUUGAGCAGGCAGAACAGACAUGGGUCCCAGCGCUGGCAGAGUCCAGGGGAGGGGACAACUGAUCUGAGACUCAAGUGGCAAGGAAGACAAGCCCUGUGCCUUCCCUUCAAGACACAGGCUGAGUGCCUUCAAUUCAAUCACCUGGAGCCCCAAGACCAAAGCAAGGCUUGGAGUAUUAGUCUGGGUUCUCCAGGCAGAUCCAGGGUGAUAUAUAUACAGAGAGAGAUACAUAAAGAUAAGGAUGGAGAUAGAGGUAUUAUAAAGAAUGAUAAGAAAUUGGCUCCUGAACUCAUAGAGGCUAAAUGCCAAGAUCUGUAAGGUGAUGAGCUGGAGACCCAGGAGAGUGUAAUGCCACUCCAAGCCCAAGGGCCAGAGAACCAGGAGAGCAGAUGGUAUACGUUUCGGUCUGAGUCUAAGUCCAAAGAUAGGCAAAGGCAAAUGUCCCAGUUCAAAGACAGUCAGGAAGAAAAGAGUUCCUCCUACUUCAAGGGAGGGUGAGGCGUUUUGUCCUAUUCAGGCCUUCAACUGAUUGGAUGAGGCCCACCCAUGUUGAAGAAGGCAAUCUGCUUUACUCAGUCUACUGAUUCAAACGUUAAUCUCAUCCCAAAACCUUCACAUGCCCAGAAUACACCCAGAAUGAUGUCCAACCAAAUAACAGGACACCCUGCGGUCCAUCAAGUUGACACAUAAAAUUAACCAUCAUACUUGGGAAAGUAUUUACCCCUUUUCUAAAUCCAACCAAAGCACUGAGUUCUGUGGGUUUGCGUCUGUGUUGUAGUAUUUCUGUCCCUUAUUACCAGAUUGUUUACUGUCUACCACUGGUAGUCGCCAUCCCUGCCCAUAAAAGGACCUCUCUUCACUUCUAAUUCAUUCCGGGUUUUAAAACCAGCCUGCUACUCUUGCUGCGGUUUAAGAAUCUUGAACGAGUCCAGAGACCUCUGGGUAAAAUGCUCGAGAUGUAGAGCAACCACUGUGACAUCUCUCUUAUCCUCUCAGGGGAACCUUAUGUUUCUGUGCUGAUUCUCAGAGCUGUGAUAUAGAUAAGGAAGUUACUAGCUAAUAUGACGACUUCCUGGAUCAGUUUGAAUCACAAAAAAUUGAAAUAAUUAUGUGAGGACAAGUCAUAGGCAGGGUCAUACUCCCAGCUACCAUGAUGUCAGGGGGUAGUUUGGUAUUCAGGAAUUACAAAACACAAGAAACGUGAAAACAGGUAGCUAAGUGAAACUGAUCCUCCCAGCUUUUUGGUCUGUGGAAACUAUCCUCGAAGAAAUAAUUUCCCCCUAAAGCCAACAGAAUGAGUCUUCACUGUGAUUUCUCGUGCAAUAAGCUAGUCAGGUCCCACCAAAGAGUUUCUAAAAACAAGGGUUUUUUUUUUCCUCAUAAAAGUGAUCAGAACGUUCAGUACCUAACACAAAAAAAGUAGCAACCGUUCUGUUUGGCACUGUUUUAUCAAGUAUGAGUGUCAAAUGUUUUACAGCUCAAAUUAACAACAAGGAGCUAUAAUUUUUGUGUUUGUUUGUUUAAAAGACCAGCAGAGAUUUUUCUUUUUGCUGUUUAAGCUUCAUUUAAUUCAAGCUCCAAUCUGCCCUUCUUUGAUUGCAUUUCCAAAUCCUAAAUAAAAGUGAUAACUCUUCCUGCCAAUUGUAACAAACUGCUGGUGCCAGUUAUUGCUUUUUGAAAAAAAAAUAAAAAAAAUAAAAUAAAUAAAAAACAACAAAAAAAGCAAAGCAAAAAAAAAAAUCUUUUAAUACUUAGCUGACAGCUUUAUCCAAAAGCGGGGAGAAAACCCUGGCCUUUCAAAACCACCAGAUAUAUUUGUAACAACCUCUUUACUGAGUUCAUGUAUCUUCUUUAUUGUUCUUCAUAAACAGGCUAUUGGAUCUCUCCAGCUUGCAAUGUGAAAAAUGAAAGAAUUUCCUCCCAUCCAUGCCUCUCUUAUCUCAUAAUUGUUUUGUUCUGAGAGGUAGGGGAGACCUGUAUAAAUGUCUCUGCUAUUUUAUUUGUCCUCUCCAAGCCCAUUCAUGCUUUUCUCCAGGGCUUUUGACUCCUGCUCUGUUUCUGCCUGAACCUCUAUCUGCUUACUGUUCUCUGCAUCAAACCCUGCGAAAGUGUUUGAGAUUUCAUUUCAGAGGGUGAUGCAAGAGAGAUAAGAGUCAAAGGCAUUUUACAGCCACUUUCAGCGUGUCUGUGCUGGAUACGCUGGAGGUAGAGGCACUUAAGUUGCUGCUCACCUGACAUCACAGAGAACACCCUGGUUUGGAGCUGCUACAUCCUCACGUUGUGUGAGCACUCAGCUACAUGCCUCCUCCGAUCUUUCCAGAGAGCCCUGCUGCUGGUUCCUUUGCCUCCUGCUGCUGCAGCUUGCGGGGGCCCCUCCAUUUCUCUGAGCUCCAUUCUUUCCAACCUCCUCAGAAAGCUGAGGGCCUCCCACAACAAGGAUAGCCCUUGUCAAAGACAGACAGUUCUGAGAGCCUGCAGAAGUGGCAUGAGGAGGAGGAGGAGGUGGAAUUUUGUGAAUGUGGUUAAUUGUCCUAAAGAGAGGGGAGAUACGCACUUGAGGAAGAGGUCAGGGAACAGAGUCUAAAAGGGGGAGGAACUAUUUACUAAAACCUGAUUCCUUAAUGACAUGCAACAGAGCAGGUGCCUCCAUCCUGAAGCCCUCUGUGAAAAGGCCUGAGUAUUGGACUAGUUCCCUGUAAAGACUACCAUGAACACUCGUUAGUCAGCUUUUCCGUGAUAAGGCUGUGUAACAAAUAAUCCCAAAAUCUCAGUGGCUUACAACAGGCAUUUAUUUCUUUUCAGUAAUGGGUCUGUGAGUUGGCUGGACUCAUUUGGGCUUGGGUCAGGUCUGCUUUCCCCAUGUCUCUUCAUCCUGGAACUAUGGCUACCCUGGAUGUACUUACAUCAUGGAGUAGGCAGGAGCUCCAGAGGCUAAACAAACAUUCAAAGCCUCAGUACACUCCCACUUCUGUGCACCCGGUUACAUGGCCAUGCCCAAAAUGAGUGAGGCAGGUAAAUAUAAGUAUAUGCCAUCCUAAGGAGGAAGAGAGAGUGAAUAUUGAGUGAAUAUUUGUUCAACAAGAAUCCAGUCCACCGCAAUUACACACACGCAAACGCGCGCACACACACACACACACACACACACUUACAGGGCCAGAAACUACUUCAGGAAUAGUAGGUAUAGGAAUAGCUUGCUCUUCCUACCUGCCCUGGGCUGGUUGGAACAGUCCAACAAAAACAUUUCAAAAUCACAUUUAUAAAAUUUUUAAUAUUUAUUUCUUUUUGAGAGAGAGAGAGCACGUGCGCAGAGGGAGACACAGAAUCCAAAGCAGGCUCUAGGCUCUGAGCUGUCAGCACAGAGUCCGACAUGGGGCUCAAACCCACAAAUCGUGAGAUCAUGACCUGAGCCGAAGUCAGAUGUUCAACUGACUGAACCACCCAGGCUCCUCCAAAAUCACAUUGAUAUAUGUGGACACUUCAGACUGAAAGCAACUUUAAAUGUCAUCUAGUCUUACGUCCACACCAAGGGAAGCUUUUAGUAACACCUCCAGUGAGGAAGAGAUUACUGCCUUCCAGGCAACCCACCCUACACACACACACUCUUCUUCUACAAUGUGUCUGGGAUAUCUGUGUACAGCUCAUAGGUAUCCUUAGGGAUAGCCUUCCCUUCUCCAAGUGAAAGACCCUAAGUUUACUGUCCUCAAAGUCUAUGGUUCCAAGUCACAAUUUCCCCUAGGCAUGUGCCAUUUUGUUAACAUGCUACUUAUGCUCUAACCUCAGCACUGUGCUCAGAGCUCCAAAGCUACAAUAUUUGUGUAAGCAGAGUGGGGAAGUCCUCCCCCUCAUUCCAAGUAAGGAUCAGCAGAGAAUGACAGGUCAUAUGUCUUACUCAGAUUGAGCUUAAAGUCACCUAAAGUCAAGACAUUCUUACAUGUGUUGCUAAACCGUUCAUCAAUCAACUACUUACGGGGCACUUAUUAUAAGACUUGCAUCCUGCUAUGCUGGGGAUACAGUGAUAAACAAAAUUCACAUACAAGGUCCCGACUCUCCUGGAGGCUACCUGGAGAAACAGAUAAUAAGGAAAUAAAGAGGCCAAAAAAUAAGAAAAUUGAAAUACAUACUAUUAAAAAGAAAAGGCAUUGAUAACAUGAGGAGGGAAAAGGGAAAGCUACUUCAGACAGUGGCCGGGAAGCUUCUCUGAAGAGGUGGAUUCCUGAAGCUUGGGGAGAGGGCUGGCCCAGAAGAAAGGGACCCUGAGGAAGCAGCUGGACGGGAAAGGCCGAUGCAAACAGGCCAGGGCGACAGGUGCCUGGUGAGCAGGGAGGGAGGGGCACAGGUCGAAGAGGAGGGGUCAGCAGCUCUGGUUAGCAAGCAGAGAAAGGCGUGAUGUGACCCGGACCCUGAGCAGCAUCUCCAGCCUCCCAUGUGCACGUAUCUGUGCAGUCCUUUGAGGAGGGGAGGCCUGACGGGAGAACUCAACAUUUGCCCCAGCUCAGUUUCUCGUCAUUAAUUGAGGCCAACCCUUCCGCCAACAAGCCAGCUCUCUGUCGCCACUCCCUGCCACCAACACGGGUCAGGCCAGGAGGAAAUGUGAUGGUAAUGAGGCGAACCACAGAGCCCUCAGGCACAUCACCUGAGGUAGAAAAGACAUAAGAUUUUACAGAAGAAAUUUAAGAGCAGGGACAUCAGGAGCCAUGAUUUUCAGGACCAAACAGUACCUCUCCCUAAACAGCCAGUUCAAUGGCUGGGGAUAGACCCUGGGUGAUGAGCAAAGCCACACCUUCAGGGAAAUGCAAGGUGGGCAUCCUCACGGGAGGACCCAGAGCCUGUGUGCAAUCAGUCAGACGCCCCUGGAGUCUUGUCCAGGAGCAAGAGGACUGUGUGCCCCGCUUCUGUGCUCAUGUCGUCGUGACCACCUGCUUGGCAGGCCGCUGCUCUGCUGGGACAGCACUGCUUCCACCUUCUCCGGCAGCCAUCGGCAUGGGCCACCGCAUGGGUCUGGUCCAUACGGAUAGGAUGUGUGAGCCCAGAGGCUUACUGAGGAAGUCGAGAGUCCUUCAAGCGCAGCCCAGUGGUCAAAGGGCUUUGGGAUCCAGACCCUCGGAGAUGAAGGAGAAGCUGUCAGCACAGAUAAGACAGAGGAAGUGCUAUGGACAGAUUUAGACAUCAGGGGACACACUAGGGGACACCUGCCGAUUUGUUACCAAUGCAGGAAGCCCUGGGCAGGAUUUUUUUUUUAGCUCAUGGUGUAAUUCCUGGGUUUGCAUCAGGACACAUAUAUGAGACACAUAUAUAUCUACCCCAACAGGCAUCUUUUUUUUUUUGGUGACUGACCUCCCUCAAGGAGCAAGGAACUCCGGAGAAGGAAGUAAAGACAGAGAUGCACACCUGGGGGCAGACACAGCUCUUGCAGAGGGCAGUGGUACGCAAUGCACUGUGUCCCCAAGGGACGUCCUGUGCCACCAUUUGCCUUUCUCGGUCUCCUCUCCCGCCCAGCCUUAGAGGGACUCUGUCCUUCCUCAUGUUCUAUCCUUGUCCUUCCUAACUUCAGCCUCAUGACCAUAGCCAAAUAACACAAAGACGUCAGCGGUCCGAUCCAAAUUAUUGAGACGGGGGUGUUUCAUGCUUAUUAUCCCCAUUUCAUUUUUCAGAGGGGAAACAGGUUUCCCAUCAAUGUGUAGAGCAUACUCCUAUCUUGAAAACCAUAGAUAUUAAUAUAAUGGGGGAGUGUUUGGACGUGCAGAUGUGCGGAGGGGGAAAUGUCUGAGAGACGGAGCACAGAGGAUUUUUAGGGCUGUGAAAAUACCCCAUAUGACACCGGAAUGGCAGAUGCCUGUCCCAAUCCAUAGAAUGUACAAUAGCAAAGUGAACGCUGAUGUAAACCAUGGGCUUUGGGUGAUAACCAUGUGUCGAUAUGGGUUCAUUGAUUGCCCAAAUGUGCCACUCCAGUGGGAGGUGUUGAUAACAGAAGAGGCUAUGCACGUGUAGGCAUAGGAGGUACACGGCAAGGUUCUGUACCUUCUGCUCAAUAUUGCUGUGAACCUAAAACCUCUCUGGAAAAAAAAAAAAUCUUUCUUUUUCAAAAGCCUGGCAGGUAUCUAUCAGACAGUUUACAGUCACCUGAGUUCAUUCAUUCCCUCAGCCACUUAUGGAGACCUUCUACGCGAUACUCCUUACCAGAACAGAGUAUCAGAAUUUAAUUAAUUUAACAUAAGUGAUUUAAUUUUCUUUCUUCAUUCUCUCUCUCUUUUGGCAUAUCUGCAUUUUCUCAUUUUUAAAAUGAACAUAUAAUGAUAAUGAACCAAAGAGAAAGAGCUUCAAAGCAGGCCUCCUCCACCCACCAGCUCCUGCUUCCUUCGCCCCAGCCCUCACAACUCCAGCUAGGCACCCUGCUUGAGAACCUGCAGAUUCCCACUGUAGCAUUCGGCCCUGGAGUUGGCGCACUGUUCCUGAUCCUGGUAGCCCCUCCAAGUUCAGAGGAAGUCCCGCCCGGCCUCCCUAGCCCCCCAGGAAUCCCCAGGGCUAGGAUUUGGGCAGCUGUGCAGACCCUACCAUCUCACUGAGGUAUUACGGUUCUGAAUUCAUGCAGCACUGGAGAGGCAGCAAAGGAGAUAAACAGAAUUUCUGCUCAAUGAGUUGAUGAUAAUAAUAAAUAAGGCCUUUUCUCCAAAGACUUGAAAUCUGUUGUCUCAUUUCAAUGCACAAAAUUACUCAUUUAGAAACUCCUCCCCACAGACUUGGACUAGGUGGGGAUUAGUAACCGUUAACCCCAUUUUGCAGAUGGGGAAACCAGGGCCCAGCAGGAGCUGGGACUCCCAACCAGUGGCAGAGCAGGUGUCCUGACACCCCAGACAGCACCCGGGUUGGAGAGGGUGCUCUCACCGCCUCGGGCUGGCACUGGAGCAUGUGACCAGAGAGUCAUCGCUGGAUCUUCAAGAGCCUGUGCUGAAUUCUCCACCUGUCCUUCUAGCUGCUUCCUUCCUCUGACUCUGAGCUCCCUGAGGACCUGUCCUCCCAAGACUGAGCAAACUGAGGACAUCUCCUUCGCCUCCCUCACAUGGGAUGUGCUCAGGACAGGGCCCUCCAAAAGCCCCAAUGCUUGGUGAUUGAUGAUGCACAAAUCGGCUGAACCCUGGCAGAAUAACUUCUCUGGUUCAGGUUCUUCUAUUUGCCAGGGAGGCAGAGGCAGCCAUGUGGCUCAGAGCAGGGAGAGGACAUCUUUCUCCUGCUCUGCCUUUGACUGUCAGAGCUUCCAGCCUCGGGUAACCAUGGUAAUCACCAGCAUUAACCACAGCAGUGACAGGAGCCUCAGCAGGCCAGCUCUGACCCACUCCCACUGCAGAUGGCACACCAGCUUCCUGCAACAUGCAGUCCCCGGUUUGCAUUCUUGUACCCCUGCUGCCUGUGCCCAAGGACUGCAAAGGAUGGUCCCUCUCCCAGACCCAGGGGUCGAUGCUGGAGGGGGAAAUGGACCCCAAGCCUCCUGCACCCUUCGCAGGGCCUGGGUCAGAAGUUUGAGAUGUGGUCCAAAAUCUUAGUGACCAUGUCGGCAAUGGCCAGGGCCUAGGGCUUAUGCUUGGGACACCCUGUUUGGUCCUAGCCCUGCCUCUAAAGGGUAGCCACCAUCAGCCAGCCACCGUAGGUAGCCAGCCCAACCUGGACCUGUGGGGACCUCUCAUGGCAGGGUUUAGGGGCAUCCGCAAACAAUCUUCUGCUGCCCUUUACCUAAGGGCCAAGCCAAGAGAGCCACAGCAGAGCUGUUCUUGCCCAAAUUUGGGGUCUAACCACCCCCACUGUGCCCAUCAGCUCCACCAGCCCCAUGUUGAGAUGCUGGGAGCCAGCUCUCCUGUCUCCAGGUCUCUAACACCACCAUACAUCCUGACAACCUGGCCUCACCUCAUGUCCCCAUCCUGCUCUCUCCCAUCAGGCACUAAACUACUUUUCCAGGUAGCAUAGAGCUGAACCGCUCUCCAGAACCCAUGGGCCUAUCCUUUGCAGCUCUGAGGGCCAGACCAGACUCCGCACAGGGAAACAGAAGUGAGGCUCCCUGCGCUUCUCAGGUCUUCAAGUGCUGGGAGCGAAGGACAGCUUCUCUAGGGACCAGCAUCCCUGCCCAAGGCCCCAGAGGUUUGCAAGAGGCCAGAGGCUGCAUCCCUAGUUCAAGGGCUCUGCGAAUGCCUGCCAAACAACGCUAAGGAUUCUCGAGUCUGGCUGCUUCUGAGAAACCUUUAAAUGGAAAAGGGCAAACGAGUGAGCUUCCCAAGAACCCCGAGCCCUGGCUGCCACCCAGGCCGGUCUGCGGGCCUGGGAGCCCAGUGCUGGGGACGGAGAACGACGUGGCACUCCCUCUAGUGGCAAACGUCCCGCACAGAGCCCGGCGUCUCGCCGGCCAGCCUUCCCGGCAGGGCCCUCUCCCUCCGGGACCGCGCGCCGCCCGCCCUUCCCCUCCCGGGGGCAGGCGGUGACCCGCUCAGCA
rnacentral:lncRNA from 1 species